GGCCACUUUUGGCCGCUAUACAUCCAUAUAGGGUGCGCACCACAUGCGCUCGGUUUGCGCAAUCCGGACACGACCUGGUUGAGCUCGAGCCGCCCUACCCCUACGUGUGCGGCCACGGUGUCCCGGUUCUUUUGGGAUGGAGGGAGAAGGUGAAGUCUUCGGGCCGCGUGUCCCUUCAAACAGAAAUUGAGGCUGGGCAUUGCUUCCGGGUCCCUGGAUGAACACCUGCACACUGCACCGUAAACCGUGCCUCCAGCCACCGAGCUCCAGCGCCUUACCAUCAGAGCCUUAGCCUUGAGUCAGAGGCUUCACCGACCCCCAACCUAUACCUCACAGCUCAAGCCCAAGCCUUCUGCUUCAAACCAGCCAGUUUUCCCUGAGAGUUUCUUUGUCAAUAAAACUCCCUUUAACCCUU